GGAAUCNCUGGGCGUAAAGGACGCGUAGGCGGAUUAUCAAGUCUCUUGUGAAAUCUAACGGCUUANCCGUUAAACUGCUUGAGAAGCUGAUANUCUAGAGUAAGGGAGAGGCAGAUGGAAUUCUUGGUGUAGGGGUAAAAUCCGUAGAGAUCAAGAAGAGUACCCAUUGCGAAAGCGNUCUGCUGGAACUUAACUGACGCUAAUGCGNGAAAGCGUGGGGAGCAAACAGGAUUAGAUACCCUGGUAGUCCAUGCCCUAAACGAUGUAUACUAGUUGUUGCUUCGCUAGUCGAGGCAGUAAUGCACCUAACGGAUUAAGUAUACCGCCUGGGGAGUACGGUCGCAAGAUUAAAACUCAAAGGAAUAGACGGGGACCCGCACAAGCGGUGGAGCAUGUGGUUUAAUUCGAAGAUACGCGAAGAACCUUACCCGGACUUGAUAUCUAACAAAUCAUCCAGAGAUGGAAGAGUGUCUGCUUGCAGAAAUGUUAAGACAGGUGCUGCACGGCUGUCGUCAGCUCGUGUCGUGAGAUGUUGGGUUAAGUCCCGCAACGAGCGCAACCCACGUCAUUAGUUGCUAACGGUUCGGCCGAGCACUCUAAUGAGACUGCCUUCGCAAGGAGGAGGAAGGUGUGGACGACGUCAAGUCAUCAUGGCCCUUAUGUCCGGGGCGACACACGUGCUACAAUGGCGUAUACAAUGAGACGCAAUAUCGCGAGAUGGAGCAAAUCUAUAAAAUACGUCCCAGUUCGGAUUGGAGUCUGCAACUCGACUCCAUGAAGCCGGAAUCGCUAGUAAUCGUAGAUCAGCCAUGCUACGGUGAAUACGUUCCCGGGUCUUGUACUCACCGCCCGUCACACCAUGGGAGUUGAUUUCACUCGAAGCCCAAAUACCAAACUGGUUAUGNUCCACA
rnacentral:rRNA from 1 species